GGUCCUACGGGAGGCAGCAGUGAGGAAUAUUGGUCAAUGGGCGCGAGCCUGAACCAGCCAAGUCGCGUGAGGGAUGACGGCCCUACGGGUUGUAAACCUCUUUUGCCGGGGAGCAACGGGCGCCACGUGUGGCGCCACUGAGAGUGCCCGGAGAAAAAGCAUCGGCUAACUCCGUGCCAGCAGCCGCGGUAAUACGUAGGGUGCGAGCGUUAAUCGGAAUUACUGGGCGUAAAGGGUGUGCAGGCGGCUGAGUAAGACAGAUGUGAAAUCCCCGGGCUUAACCUGGGAACCGCAUAUGUGACUGC
rnacentral:rRNA from 1 species